CUAUAUAUUUGUGUUUCCUUGUGAGAUUUUCCCUUUCCUAUAGAGUCUUACUUCUUUUCCAUUUAGAGAACACUUCUUUUAGGGAAGGGUUGGUAUUGAUGAAUUCUUCUAGUUUUUGCUUCUCUGAGAAGUUCUUUCUCUCUCCUUUUAUCCUAAAUGAUAAUCUUGCUGCGUAGAGUAUCCUAGAUUGCAGGUUUUCCCAUUUCAGCACUUCACAUGUAUCUUGCCACUCCUUUGUGGCCUGCAGAGUUUCUGCAGAACAAUCAGCUGAUAGCCUUUUAGGGGUUUUCUUGCAUAUGACUCUGCUUUUCUCUUGCUGCCAUUAGAACUCCAUUUAACUUUUGCCGUUUUAAUUAUGACAAGUGUUGGUGUGGGUCUGUUUGGGUUCAUCUUGUUUGGAACCCUCUGUGCUUCCUGUACCUGGAUAUCUGUUUCCUUCAGGUUUGGGAAGUUUUCAGCCAUCAUUUCUUCACAUACACAUGCUUAACUUUCUCUGCUUCUAUAAAUUUUGGUGAAACAGCUACUAUUUUGGUCUUGAAUGGGUGUUCUUAUGUGGGAGGGUCCCUACACGGACUGCAUGGACCCAUUUUGGUGGGAGGGCUGGAUCUGAUGAUGAUGCCAGUCCCAUCUUUCCUCAGGCCGUGCUGGCCACUAUCACCUUGAUGGGGGUGUGGCAUGUGCUUUAGGAGCCAGGGCCUGUGCAGGGUAUGAGGCGAGACUGCCUCUCUGCUCAGUGCUGAUCCCCAGCUUGCGCUGGUUCUGUUCCCUCUGAGUGUGUGUUUUCCCUCUCCCUGUACCAGGACCUCUGCCCCAGAGGAGGGAGUGAUGAAGCACGUGGGGCCUCUGUGCUUACAGAGUCAAUGCCCUUCCUAUGUAGGCAUCUGCAGCUGUGCUCAGACGCAGCCCCAGUUGGUUCUUUCCCCAGUCUUGGCCAUUCCAGGCCCAGCGCUCUGAUGUGGUGUGGAGUGAGCAUGGCUGUACAGCUCGCCGGGUCUGGGCUGGGGUGCAUGGUCAGUCAGUCAUGGGAAUCCAGCUGCUGCUCGGGCAGAUCUCUCUACCCUGCCUGAGGGUCAGCCAGCACCGUGCACUCAUGAAUGGAGUCUAACUUCUCCAAAUAGCCAAGGGGGCUUGUCUCCUGCAUGUAGGACCCCAGGAACGGGGGGCCCAGGGUGAGAGUCCACCCCUGAGAUCUCCCUUUUCCUUUUGAGUCCCCCACAGGGGUACAGGUCUCAACCCAAUGCUUUUCCUCUUGCCCUACUUGAUUACAUGUGGGUCUUCCCUGCAGCCUUGGCUGUCCAGGUUUCCUCAGCCAGCCUUUACUUAGUCUUCUGUGAGAACUUUUCCACACGCAGGUGUAUUCUUGAUGUGCCUGUGGGGGAGGUGAGCUCCAUGUGCUCUCACUUUGCCAUCCUGAUCUCCCUGUCUUAUUCCAAUUCCUCCUGGAGGAAGCUGGUUUCUGGGAUUCUCUUCCCCACAAAAGGAGAACACAUGAAGUAUAAAGAAACAUGGUGGAUUGAGGAAUCUGUUCCAUUGGGCUCCCAGCCCUCGGCACACACAACCACGUGGCUGGCAGGCUGUACCUGUGCUAACAGAAGCCUGUUUCUUGGUGGGAAACUUGGGACAGAAGGGAUCUGUGCUCUCAGCCAGCCCGCAGCCAAGGCUCCUUUGCCCAGUGAGGCAGACGGCUACCCCGGGCCUCCACUGGGGGAGCACGGGAUGAGCACUGGACACCGCUUCCUUUACCCUGCACCUUUGGCCGGGCUGCAGGGCUGUGGGCAGGAGCCAGUGGGGUGACAGCACGAGGUGGCUGUUUGUGCCUGCAGGUAGUGGCAGCUGCACUGUGAACCACUGAUGCCUCAGCCUCACCACCUGAGGUGCGGUUAGGGUGAUGGGCACGUGGCAGGUGCUAAGCGUCCUGCGGGAGGAGGAGUGCAGUCAGCCUGGAAGUAAGAGGCAAUCAGGGGCUGGAGUGCGUCCUCACUGGGGGCCGUCCCCGGCCUGUGGGGCAGGGUGCUGGGCCAGCUGGUGAGAGCGCUGCCCUGGACUAACAUUGGUCACCCUCUCACUCCAAGAGAGGCAUGAAUUCUCUGUAAAACGACCACUCACGAGCAGAGAAGAGGAAACUCUGCGUGCUCUCGGGUGAUUGUGACACAGGGUCAUUCCGCUGUGAGUCACCGUCCAGCAAUUUCCCGCUGCACUCACUGCCCGUGCCGGACGAGAGCACUUACUUCUUCCCGGUCUCGGCCCAGCGGGCCUGCUGGGCACAAGGAGCCGGGUCUUCCAGCGGCCUCUCCAUGGGACGGCCCGUAGCUUCACAAGAGCUCUCAGAAAUGGAGGAGUGGGUCUGUUACCGCCUCAGGGCAGAGUGGACACAACUGGACUCAACUGUCCUUCUGUUUUGGUCUCACGUUAAUUUCUGAAAGAUUAUCCUUCAGUGAACCGCAUGACACCUCACGAGGAAGAGGUGGGGAGACUGAUUACCUGUGGUCCUUGGUAAAUCACUCUGGCGUAGAAACUGCAACGGGUACAGAGGCCAUCAGUCUGGAAAGGCAUUGAGAACGGUGAGUAAGGCCCCCCCAUCCCCAGCACAGCCACAGAAAAUAACUGAGACCUUGGCAGAAACAAAAACACCACCUGGAGAAUUUCUCUUAAGAAGCGGGGAACCGGAGGCUGGUAAAACUUAGAAACGGGGUCUUCGUCAAUUACAUCAAUUUGUCCCAGAUUUGGAUGAGCAGAGAGGAUGUAACAGAAGCUAGGAGGAGGCAGAUGAGUUGUUUCCUGUUUAAAAUGAAGACAAAAGCAGAACGUGAAUGUACUGUUAAAAGACUCAAAUCACUGUUAAUAUAAACCUACUCUAAUACACAUAUUGGUUCACAGAAGCAUACUACCUCUCUGGAAGGCUAUGUAAGAAACGGGUUAUGUUGUUUAUCUCUGGGACCAAGCUAAGAACUUCCGUGCUUUUUAACUUACGACCAAUUCAAGAUUUCGUUUUAGAAAUUUACUUUUCAGAGUAUAUUGAGAACACCAUUUAGAAACUCCACCCCUGUAAGUGCUCUAGAAAUGGCAUUUCUGACCACAGUGCAGCUGGUCCAGCACAGGAUGGAGCCAUGGUCUUACCUGUGCCAGGUCAGGUACCACACAAGCAAGGUGGCACAUGUUCUGCCUGAGGAGCUACAGCCCAGAACAGCUCUGGCCAGACUGCUGGGUAGGCUCAGCAUGGAGACAGGGGACUCAUUUUAAUCAGUCAAUUUUGCUACCUGUGAGCAACUCCUGGGAACAAUCUGACAAGGAAGCAAAGGGAAAUCCCAGGAUAAGCAGGAGGUUAUUCAUGGAGUUUCUGCUCCAACUGGUGACUGAGUGCGGGUUCUGCUAGUGACUGAAAGUGUCUUGUUCGGUGCGAUGCUGAGACCUUGGUUGUGCCCUGGCGUGUGGUGGUGGCUGGACCUGCAAGCGGGCCAGUGGGCCUGGACCUCUGUCCUGGCUUAUACGCACUGGUCCCGGCUUCUUGGGAUGUGGACUGUGGGGUGGCACCUGGCUCAGCACCUGAUACCAAGCAGGUGUGACUGGGGAGCUGUCAGCGAUGGGCUUACCUCUUCACAGGCCGAGCUGCGGCCAGGUGCUCUCAGAGGCACAACUGGAGGCCACAUGGUGUCAAUCAAACUGAAAAGGCCAGCCAUCCUGGGAAAGAAGAGAGGCCUGGUCAGUGUGCUGGUCACAUGCACACCUGCUUCACAGACACCAGGCUGAAUGCCCAAGGAGCCACCACUCAGGACGAGCGAUGAAGACAGUGGUACACAGACAGGAAGACAGGCCUUAGAACCUGCCUGCAAAAGAACAGGAAGGAGACUGUUCAUUAAAUUGUGAGGCAUCUGCAGAAUGAAAUGUGAUGUAACCAUUGAAAUGGUUAUAUGGAAAAUAUUUAAGGGCAUGGAAAGAUAUCCCUGAUACCUUGCUAAAUGAAAAGCAGACAGCAAAGUAUAAUGUCUCUCUCUGAAAGACAUAAAAAUGUCUUUAGUGGUUAUCUGAGUAGAGCUUAAAGGUGAUAUGCAUUUUCUUCCUUUGGUUUAUAUAUUUCCUGUAUUUUUCCAAAACAGAUAUGUGUUACUCAUACAAUCAGAGAAAUGAUCAAUAACUUAUCUAAAAUAAAUAACAUAGCCAGACACAAAAGGACAAAUAGUGUAUGAUUCCACUUAUUAGCUCUCCCAAGAGCAGAAAAAUUCAGAGACAGAAAGUAGGAUGGUGGGUGCCAGGGACUGGGGGAAGUAGGGGUCAGUGUUUAACGGGGACAGAGCUUCUCUUUGGGAAGAUGAGAAAGUUCUGGAGAUGGAUGGUGAUGAUGGCUGCACAACAAAGUGAAAGUACUUAAUGCCACUUAAAAAGGGUUAAGAUGUUAAAUGUCCAUUGACAGAUGACUGCAUAAAGAAGCUGUGGUAUAUUUAUGCAACGGAAUACUACUCAGUCAUAAAAAAGAAUGAAAUAAUGCCAUUUGCAACAUGGAUGGACCUGGAGAUCAUUACUCUAAGUGAAGUUAAGUCCAAAAGAGAAAGAAAAAUACCAUAUGAUAUCACUCAGAUGUGGAAUCUAAAAAAAUGACACAAGUAUUUACAAAACAGAGUCAGACUCACAGACAUAGAAAACAAACUUAUGGUUACCAGGGGGAAGAGGGGGGAAAGGGAUAAAUUGUGAGUUUGGGGUUUGCAGAUACUAACUACUAUAUAUAAAAUAGAUAAACAACAAGGUCAUACUGUAUAGCAUAGGGAAUUAUAUUCAAUACCUUGUAAUAACCUACAAAAAAAGAAUAUAUAUGUAUCUAUACAUAUGUAUAACUGAAUCACUAUGGUGUACACCAGAAACUUAACACAACAUUGUAAGUCGACUAUACCUCAAUUUAAAAAAUGCUUUGGAUGGAAAAUUUUACACUAUGUAAUUUUACCACAACUGAAAAUAGUUUUAGUUGCCCCACAAAACGAAUAUAUAUCAGAAAGGCUUCUUAGAUUUUGCCUUGAGUUUCAACAAUGUUAAGGUGUAAUAAUGUUGUUUACUUUUUAGAAAGCCUGUGGCCUUAAUAAUUAAUGUUACAUAUCCCUAUUGCACUGCGGGCAGUCCUGAAACCUCUUGGCCCCGUCCUUUGCUCCCUGCAGGACUCUGAUACUCCCGCUUCCCAGCUCGCAGUGCCAAGGGUGAUGGGAGCAGGCGCAGGCUCUCAGGGAGGGCGCACAGCAGCAGAAGUAGACAGAACAGCUGACCACGUGGGACGCACGCCUUCUACGGGCUGACAUACAAGCCUGGCCGACUCCACGCUCCCCAUCACGCUGCACAGGGCUGUGGGCAUUUGUUCCUCCUGGACUGAGCAUGAGCCUGGGACUGGCAGCUGGGGAUGACAGUGGCACGCGGAACUGAGAGCCCCAUGAGGCAUGUCACCUCUCAAUCUCCAGCCGAGAGAGGCAGCUCCCUAACCUUCACCCCCGAUGCUCCCGGUCACUAUGAGGAGAGGAUGGGGGUCCGUCCUGGAACACACGGCGGGCCACCUGUGAGAAGAGAGGCCAGAAGAGCAGAGUGAUAGGACGGAGUGGCAGUGAGAGGAGAAACACCCACAAGUAGAGGAAGAACAGGGCUGCGGCUGGCGCAGAUUUCGGGGUCCAGGGCGCUCACCAAGCCUGGGGACGACAGGUGUCACGUGGAGGAGGAGGGCAAGCUCCCGGCACACAGAGACCCCCUCUGAUGGCCCUGCUCAGGUGGCCUGUUCCCCUAGUUAUUUUAGGGUUUUUCCCACCUGAUACUGCCUCAUCUGGCUCCUCCCAACCUUCAGCAGGAAAUCUAAGACCCGAGCCACUCCCUUCUGGGUGUGGGUGGAGUGGAAUUUGCUGCAGGAGGUUCAAACCACAAUGGUGAGGUCACCCACAAGACAGGACACAACCUGUUCACGGAGUUAAUUCGUCCUCAGAGAUCUCAGAAUUUUUUUUUAACCAAGCAUAUAUUUUGGGUGUAAAAUGUUCCUAAAAUUCUCCAUGUGGUUGCUAAUGUCUCCGCACCUACUACGUAGUAGUCACAGCUUUGCAAAGCGUAUUAUCUAGAGGUGGAAUAUUUCAGACCAGGGGUUUGUGAAAUGCAGUCUCAGGAACUCUGAGCCUCCAAGACCUUUUGGGGGCCUGCAAGGCCAGCACUGUUUCCUGACACUCCGGUUCUCCUCUCACGAGUGCACAGUGGAAUUUUUUGGAGGUUACAUGGUGCACAGUACACAACAGAUAGGAUGCGGAGCAGAGAUGAUAAUCCUGUCUUCUAUUGGUCCAGACAUUAAACAAGGCAGAAACAAGGCAAUGCUACUCUUCUCACUACAGUUGCCUUGUUUUAGAAAAUAUUCUUCAUAAAAGUGCUAUUUAUAUUAUUAUUCAAUGGGUUUCUUAUUGGGACUUUUAGGUGAGCUAGUAAAUACUUAAUUUUUUUCCAUUUCAAUUUCUAAUAAAGUAGUUAAUGAUCAAUAUAACCACAUUUAAAAAUCUCCGAGUUCUUAGUAAUUGUGAAGAGUUUGGAACUGUUCUUUAAACCUCAGUGCUGCUCAUGAUCUAUCCACCACCUACCCUUCCCCCACUCUGUGCCCUCCUCUAUCUUCCAGAGGCAGCAUGUCUCACACACACACACACACACACACACAGACAACCUUGAGUGAACUGAACAAACGUUUGCCUUGAUAACGGAAAUGAGUUUCUUUCAGAGGUUGGACUGACAUGACCAGAUGGCCAAGGAGAUCACGAACAAAUCGGCAGGAGCCAUGGCAGCCUUGAGAUGCUAAGGAGGGAGAUAAUCAGUGACUAAAACACAGUAUUAUGCUGCCGGAAAGUAAAGUGGAAACAGCCCAGAUGUCCAUCAACUGAUGAAUGGGUCCUUCUGUACAAUGGAGCGCCAGGCAGCCACAGAAAGGAAUGGUGUCCUGACCUGAGAUACAACAUGGGGGGAACCUGGAAAACACGAUGCUGAUGGAAUAAGCCAAGAGGCUCCCUCCAAGAGCAGCGGACAGCCUGUUGGUCCUGCUGAGACUGUCUACGCUGGCAUGAGAAGGGCACCAACAAAACCCGUUCACCGAGAGCCGGCCCCGCCCUAGCCAAGAAACCCAGCUGCACACCUGUGCAGACGGCUGAUGGCAGCGGCAUCACAGGUGUGUCACGACCUGGGCAGGAGGUGACACUAGCACCUGGCAGGGAAACUGCCAUCUCUGGGCUCUGCCUCUUCGUGCCUCCCCUCCCCCAAGACGGAAAGACAGGAUAGGAGCAACGCUGGCAGACUCUGCUGUCGAGCACUCGGCAUGGACUGCCCACGACCAGGUCACACCCUGAUGGCCCUCUUGGGGAAGCCCACCGGCGCCAGCAGAGCCGAAUCAGACAUUCAGCCAUCCCUGUGAGGAGGUCGCCUCUCACCCUGGAUGGUGACUCCUCUCUGUGGCGCCCACGCUCAGCAGAUGACUGAGGAGGGAGAGAAACAUGCCAAGGACCACAGUCAAAGCAGAACUUCUUUGUCUAACUGCCGACGGGGGGCAUCUGUGAUGAUUCCUGGACAAUGACCCUAACCCUCACGACCUGUGCUGGACGAUUCCUGAAGACUCCCUCUGUGGCACCACUGAGCAUGUGGGUCAGGAGGGUCUCCCAGGAGACGGAGGCCCUGGUGCCCAGAGUCACCGUGGAGCCUGACCCCUGGCCAGUCACCCUCCCUGUUCAAGGCCCUCCUCCUCAAGGCUCUUUUCCUGACUCUUCUCACUUCAGCCUAUCAAGUAUGGACACUUGACUCCAAAAAUGUGUCAGAGAAAUGCAGAAGAUGUGACAGCUGUUUUUCUGCAACAGUUCCCGAGAGGGCAGGUGGACAGAGCAGGGCGCCCCGCACAGGGGUCCAGCAGCAUGUCUGUCUGUCUGCUCAGCUCCAAGGCCAUCAGUCCACCCGAAGCUAUCGUGGGAAGCAGUGAUUUUCCGUCAUUCUGACGGUGGACCAGAUGAAACCUGGUAGCUUGGAUUUCAAAGACUCCACGACUUAGCCCAAACAUAAAACUUCCUUCCAACUGGCAAAGAAACUACGAUGGUUACUGGAAUGAACAGCCACCGCUGGGGCCAGACCCACGUACCGUUCCCAAAACAACACGAAACCUGACAGAACAAGCUUUCUUGAGAUGGAAAGCAAAAAGAUAUGACAAAUGAAGAGUUUUGCUUAAAGCUUAUAAAAUGCCCUUUCAGUAAAUUAUAUUCUCAUUUAUAUAAAGUGACUCAUGCCAAGCUGCCUUAUUAUUAUAGACAACAAAAUAUACAGAAAAAUUUUAGAAUUAAAACACAUGUACUUAACAUUUUUAGUCUUAAUUUUAAUAAAAUUGUGAAUCAUUA